CUGUGAAACUGCGAAUGGCUCAUUAAAUCAGUUAUCGUUUAUUUGAUUGUACCUUACUACAUGGAUACCUGUGGUAAUUCUAGAGCUAAUACAUGCGAAAGAUCCCGACUUCACGGAAGGGAUGUAUUUAUUAGACUAAAAACCAAUGCGGGCCUCGGUCCGCUUGCUUGGUGAUUCAUGAUAACUUUUCGAAUCGCAUGGCCUUGCGCCGGCGAUGUUUCAUUCAAAUUUCUGCCCUAUCAACUGUCGAUGGUAAGGUAGUGGCUUACCAUGGUUGCAACGGGUGACGGAGAAUUAGGGUUCGAUUCCGGAGAGGGAGCCUGAGAAACGGCUACCACAUCUAAGGAAGGCAGCAGGCACGAAAAUUACCCAAUCCCGAUUCGGGGAGGUAGUGACAAGAAAUAACGGUACGGGGCCUUUAUAGGUCUCGCAAUCGGAAUGAGAACAAUUUAAAUCCUUUAACGAGGAUCAAUUGGAGGGCAAGUCUGGUGCCAGCAGCCGCGGUAAUUCCAGCUCCAAUAGCGUAUAUUAAAGUUGUUGCAGUUAAAAAGCUCGUAGUUGGAUUUCGGAGCGGGCCCGUUGGUCCACCGCAAGGUGAGCUACUGGCGGGUCUGUUCUUCUUCGCAAAGACUGCAGGUGCACUUCGCUGUGUGCUUGUCGGAUUUGUGACGUUUACUUUGAAAAAAUUAGAGUGUUCAAAGCAGGCUUUCGCUUGAAUACAUGAGCAUGGAAUAAUGGAAUAGGACUUUGGUUCUAUUUUGUUGGUUUCUAGGACCGAAGUAAUGAUUAAGAGGGACAAACGGGGGCAUCUGUAUUUCGUUGUCAGAGGUGAAAUUCUUGGAUUUGCGAAAGACAAACAACUGCGAAAGCACUUGCCAAGAGUGUUUUCAUUAAUCAAGAACGAAAGUUAGAGGAUCGAAGACGAUCAGAUACCGUCCUAGUUCUAACCAUAAACGAUGUCGACUAGGGAUCGGCGGGCGUUAUUUUAUGACCCCGUCGGCACCUUACGGGAAACCAAAGUUUUUGGAUUCCGGGGGUA
rnacentral:rRNA from 1 species